GCACAAGUUCUACCGGGGGAGCGGGGGGAGCUUCAGCAAAGCCCAGGAGGAGUGGACCACGGGGGCCUGGAAGAACCCCCACGUGCAGCAGGCGGCGCAGAACGCGGCCAUGGGGGCGGCGCAGGGGGCCAUGAUGCAGCACGAGACGCAGUACUCGGCCACCCCCAACUACACCUACUCCAACGAGAUGUGAGCAGCAGCAGGACUCUGUCCUCCGGGGCGGCGGGGAAAGGGAGGAGGAAGAGGAGGAGGAGGAAGGCUGAGCUGAGUUUCUGCAGCUAUUUUGGAGAGUCGGGAGUGUACCAUAACGGUUCUUCUUUUUCCCAGUCUUUGUAACGAGAGAAUUUUGGAUUUUUUCCUUUUUAUUUUCUUUUUCUCUUUUUUUUUUUUUCCUUUUUUUUCCUCCCGUCACCAUCUUGAGCUCUUCUUUUCUCUUUUAUUUUUCGUUUUGAAGAGGCCAUGAGUUGACCUGCAGGGCUCUCAUCGUUGUGCGUGGUGGUAGUCGGUGUACAUUCACCUUGUCUUUUUUUUUUUUUCCUCUUUUUUUCCCUGUGAAAUAGUGUAGGGUGGUGCUUUUUUAAUUAAUUGUGGUGAUAGGUGUACGUUUAGAACUACAUCAGCCAAAAGCUCCCUUCCUCCCCCCCACCUCCUGUCUGCCCCCAAACUCCCCUCAAAGGGAAAGAUAAAAACAGCAACCAGCACCCAUCUCCCCUCUUGGAAUAAGUGGUGAAACACAGGUUUUUUGCGAUGCGUGUGAGUGGGUUUUUUUUGUUUUUUUUCCUUUUGGAGUCGGUAGCAUCCAGCCACUUGCCACUUCUCAGCAAGGGCAAGCAAUCCCGGGAGUUCUCCCUUUUCUUUGCUUUUUAACUAGCAGGUGGCUGGCUGGUUUAGCAGUUAAAAAAAGAAAACAAAACAAAAAAAGGAGAAAAGGGAAGAAAAAAAAAGAAACCCUAAAUCUUGCUGGAAGCCAAGAGAUUCCUAAUCUACACCCUGGCUCAGGAUCUACAAUUUCUCUCGGUGUGUGGUGGUGUGUAAAUUAAUUCCCCGUUUUGAGGUGGCCGACCAGUAUUUGUGUGUGAGCGUGGGUGCUGUGUGUGUGUGUGUGUGAGCACACGUGUGUGUUGGGGAGCCCAGGGUGGGCUUUCCCAUCCCCUUCCAGGUUCUGCAUCCUGAGUCUGGUUGGGGGUUUUUGUUUUGUUUUGUUUUUUUAAAAUGCUUCUAUUUUGAAAAGAAAAGAUGGGCAAGCUUAUUCUUGGGGAAGGCUCUGGGCCAAAUCUUGCCGCCCCGAAUGAAAAGCACAUUCCUUCCUUCACCUUCCCAGUUCUUGCAGAAAUAGUGAGGUCAAGAUUUAACCCUUGUUGGUUUUUUGGGCCACCUGGCUGUGUAUUUUCUCCUGCCAGCCCCGAAUCCCUGCCCUGUUAGGGAAAAAUGGGGCUUUAAAUAACGAUCUUGCACCUUAGCAUGGGGUGGCUGGUGGAGCCUGGAGAAGAUGGGUUCAUAAACGGGGAGCUGAUGGGGGCAGGAGUAAGGGAAGCUCCUUCUUGGAGAUGCUUUUCAGACUCUAAACGCACUUUAAAUGAGCCAAUUUUUUUUCUCCAAGGCCUAGAAAAGAGUCCCAUCCGUCCCCGUGGCUCAAAUUGCCCGCUGUGGGCAAAGCCAGAGGUGUCUCUGUGUCCCCAACCCCUUGUCCCCUGGCUGGGACAAGGCUGGAGUGUCCCCUGGCACUCACUGGUGACACUUCUCUAGGACUCCUACCCACGAGAAUCAUCCCAUAGAGGAACUUGUCUCCUCCAGCAAAGCCCACCAAGAAGAAGCUUCCUUUCCCCAGGGUUCCACUUCAGCCCUCCUGCAGUAGGGAGCCGUCUCUGGGCAAGACUAACAUGCAGCUGGUGACACGACGUGUGUGUGUGUGCGUGCGUGUGUGUGUGUGUAUAUAUAUAUGUAUAAAAUGUAAGGAGAAAGGUAAUCCUUCGCUGAGCCUAUUAUGUACUUAAUCAGGUUUAAAUAUUGUGCAAUUCAUUUAGAGCUAGCCGAGAACUGACUAUGCCAAAAUCAACGUGCUCUUGUCAUCCGUGUCUGAGAAAACGAUGAAUUAAGUGACUUUCACCUCUUGCAUUUUACGAUGAGAUGCGUGAAUAAUAACUGUAACGAGCUCUAACGAA